UACGAAGGGGGCUAGCGUUGCUCGGAAUCACUGGGCGUAAAGGGUGCGUAGGUGGAUUUUUAAGUCAGGGGUGAAAUCCUGGAGCUCAACUCCAGAACUGCCUUUGAUACUGGGAAUCUUGAGUUCGGGAGAGGUGAGUGGAACUGCGAGUGUAGAGGUGAAAUUCGUAGAUAUUCGCAAGAACACCAGUGGCGAAGGCGGCUCACUGGCCCGAUACUGACGCUGAGGCACGAAAGCGUGGGGAGCAACAGG
rnacentral:rRNA from 1 species